GACGAACGCUGGCGGCGUGCUUAACACAUGCAAGUCGAACGGAGUGGCGAACGGGGGAGUAACACGUGGGUGACCUGCCCUGCACUUCGGGAUAAGCCUGGGAAACUGGGUCUAAUACCGGAUAGUGUGGGAUGGGCCCGCGGCCUAUCGGCUGUUUGGUGGGGUAAUGGCCUACCAAGGCGGCGACGGGUAGCCGGCCUGAGAGGGUGGACGGCCCCAUUGGGACUUAGACACGGCCCAGACUCCUACGGGAGGCAGCAGUGGGGAAUAUUGCACAAUGGGCGGACGCCUGAUGCAGGGACGCCGGGUGGGGGAUGACGGCCUUCGGGUUGGAAACUCCUUUCAGCCAUGACGCGGUAGUGGCAGAGGAAGCACCGGCUAACUACGUGCCAGCAGCCGCGGUAAUAC
rnacentral:rRNA from 1 species